CACGAUAAAGGCGAAGGGUAAAAGGAAGGAGUCAGGAGGACUGUAGGGUUGGGGGAUCUGGAGAGGAAAUCUUGAAGUCUGAAAUCAAAUCGGAAACAAAUAAGAAAGAAGAUUUUAGUAGAAAUGGCGAUGAGGAACGCUUACAGAGAGAUGAAAGGACUGAAGGUGAAGGAAGUCCCGGCGAAGCUGAAGCCCUAUUUCACGGUGGACUACCUCAAGAACGCCGUCCAGAGGGGCCUCGACAACUACCACGCUAAGUACAUCCAGACCAGUUCUUUCGACCCCGUCUAUCACGUCUGCAUUGGCGGGAUGAUCUUCUCCUAUCUCGUCGCUCUUCCCGAGGAGCGUCGCCACCUCGAGCACAAGCAGCAUGCCGCCGAUCACCACUGAUUGACUUUUCUUCCCAUCAUUUCCUUCCUUUUUUCCAAAAAGAAACAAAGCUUCAGCAAAGUCCUCAAUUGGCUGUGUCUUUGAAGCAGUGGCAGUGAAGACCCAUUUUUCUGUUUGUUUAUGGUUUUGUGUAUCUCCUUAAGAUACAUGUGUAUUGCAGUGGAGCAUUUGGCUGAAAAAUAAUUUGUUACAUACUUGUUACUUUUAGUACGUAUGACGCUUGGCUAUUUCACUGCUAUGUUGAUGUUGAUCUUCAUUCUAAUUGAUUGGUGAUUCUGGUCUUUGUUGAUU